rnacentral:lncRNA from 1 species
CUCGAUUUGGACAUGGUUCAGCUAAAUUAGCUCGCCAGGCACAGAGCAAAGAAAAAACUUUAGCAAAAAUGGAGCGUGGUGGCCUCACACAGAAAGUGGUUAGGGACCAGGUUCUGGUUUUCCGAUUCGUUGAUGUAGGGAAUCUUCCACCACCAGUGUUGCAAUUUGUUGAAGUCUCGUUUGGCUAUACCCCGGAUAAUCUCAUCUACAAGAACAUUGAGUUUGGUGUCGAUCUUGACUCAAGGAUUGCAUUGGUUGGACCCAAUGGUGCUGGGAAGAGCACAUUGCUGAAGCUGAUGACAGGCGAUCUGGUUCCGAACGAGGGCAUGGUACGUCGGCACAAUCACUUGCGCAUUGCGCAGUUCCAUCAACACUUGACAGAGAAACUUGAUGUGGAAAUGUCGGCUCUCCAGUUCAUGAUGAAAGAGUACCAAGGAAAUGAGGAAGAUAAGAUGAGGGCAGCCAUUGGGAGGUUUGGGCUAUCUGGGAAAGCUCAAGUAAUGCCAAUGAAGAACUUGUCAGAUGGGCAAAGAAGCCGUGUUAUUUUUGCAUGGUUAGCAUGGAGGCAGCCACAGAUGUUGCUCCUGGAUGAGCCAACUAACCAUUUGGAUAUUGAGACUAUAGACUCACUUGCUGAGGCAUUAAAGGAGUGGGAUGGAGGCUUGGUUCUCGUAAGUCACGACUUCAGGCUUAUAAACCAAGUGGCCAAAGAAAUUUGGGUGUGUGAAAAUCAAGCUGUGACCCCCUGGUCUGGUGAUAUCAUGGGUUUCAAGGCACACUUGAAGAAACAAGCUGGUCUAUAAGAUUGGAAGGGUCAAAUAUGCUGGAUUUACAUAUAUUCUAUAGUAAGGUGUACUAGGCUUACGGUUAUCAAAUCCCAUUUUUGGAGUAAUACGUUUGUAUGUUCUUUCACAUGGAUGAUGAUGAAAGCCGGUGGAGCAACGGAAGAUUCUUCAUGACAAUAUUAUUUAAAAUAUAAAAUCUGUACUGCUGUCUGUAUUUUUCAGCUGAUAUAGUAGUAGCUUAGUUUACAUUUUGCUUUGUGUUGGUACUAUAUUUGCAUUUAGUCUUGGUUUGUGCCAAGAAAUAUACUCAAGGGGGAUCAUGGAUGUGUUGCCUAUGUAAAACCUAUCUAUUUGAUAUAUGAAUCAUGUUUUCUCGCCAGUCUUUCCUCUUCUGAUUCCUAUUUGCUCAUAAGUCAUAGGGGGACAAUAGGGAAAUACUACCAAUGCAUAGUAGUUUCUUUUCGUUCUAGAGUUUGCAGGAAAAAAAAGUGCACCGGUAAAUUGUACCAAAUUGAACUCCUGGUAUUCUAUUUUUUGAUUUUAACCAAUAUCAUUAGAUAUGUUCUUAAAUUUAAUGAUAUAAUUUUUGAUAAUAAAACCCAAUGGCAUUUAGUUUUUUCGAAUAAAUAUGUUUCUGACAAUUUUAAUAGCAAAAACAUGAAAUUUGAUUCUUGACUAUUCUCAUAUUAAUACCUAUUUUCUCUGUUUGAUCUUUUUUAUGUCCUUUUUAUAAAAAUGUUCUUUUGAAAUAUUUAUUCUAUUCUAUUUUCAAAAUAAUUAUUUCAAUUUUUUAUAAAAAACUAUGAACUUUUUAUUUUAAGUAUUUAAAUAAUACUCCAUCCGUCCCAUUUUAGUUGUCACAUUUGGUUUUGUGCCGGUCAAAUUGACUAAGGUUUGACUAAGUUUAUUAAUAUUUUAUCAAUUGACAAAAUAAAAAAAACAUGUCACCAGAAUUAACUUUUAAUCUACUUUAAAAUGUAAUUUUCAGUUUUUUAAAAUAAUGAGUGAGUGAUUUAUAAUAUUUGAUCAAAAUUUAGUCAAUUUAACCAACAAAAUUAGAAAUGUGACACUAAAAUGGGAUGGAGGACUAUACACAGACCUGACUUUGAUGACAAAUAAGCAGUUUUAAAACAUUACUAUACCAAUUUUUAAAAGAGAAAAUUGGUUAAAAAAGGAAUUGUCAAAAGGAGUAAAACAAAAAACAUACUCUCACGUGGGUUUAAGGAAGAAAAGGUCCAAGUGUCCAACAUAGGACGGUUUGACCUAACUAACCUUAACACCGCAUCCCCAAUAUAUCAUCGACGCAUGAUACAACAACACGUAACCCUCCACCAAAACCCUUAUUAUAAUAUAACACACACAUAUAUAUUCUUCUCGAACACCCCAGAUCUUCAAACCCUUGUUCCAUCUCUCUAGGUACCCUCCUGUCCUUCACUCCACAAUAUAUACGUUUGAUUGACGUUUUAUUCGAUUGGUUUUGAUGAUUUUGUUCUUCUGUUGAGACAGGAUCAAGAAGAAAGAAGAUGGUGUCUGAUGCAAGCAAAAAGAAGGCUGCCCAGAAGAAGGCAGCUGCGGCAGCCAAAAGGGGUGGCAAAUCUGUUGCUGCUGCUAUUGCCAAGGUUUCCAGCAGUACUAGUACCGAUAAUUUGAGUAGUAGGGUUGAAAAUCUUCAGAUUUCUGAUCGGACCUGUACUGGGGUUCUCUGUUCUCACCCUCUUUCCAGAGAUAUUCGUGUAUGUAUCUCCCUUUAUUAUUCAGUUUCCCCAAUUUUGAUUCGUUAUGUUUCUACAGAUAUUGUGAAAGCCUGUUUAUUUGUUGAGUUCUUGGUAAUGAAAAUUUCAUCUUUGCCUUUUUGAAGAAACAAACAAUCUUUGGUUGAAUCAAGAUUGGGAAAUUUUAUGAGAAUAUGCAUAAUUCGUUAAUCUUGGUUGGAUAUGUGUUUGUAAAGACUGUAGAUUUGUUAUUAUUUCGGUUUUUUGUUAAUGAAAUUUUGAUAUUUGAUUUGUAAAAAUUGAGAAAAUUAAUCUUUGUGACUUGGUUUAACUUGAUUUAUUUACCUAUUUUGGGAACAAGAACUAAACGUGCUUAGAAUCUGCUUGUAGAAUAAAGCCAGGGACUCGGGGCUGGGGAUGUAAAAUGUUUGCAGCAGACUGCAGACCUUGCCUCUUAUGUAAAGAUCCCGGCUUUCGAAGUUUGUGACAAAAUAGAGGCAUCAGUACAAUUUAUACAAGGUGAGAGAUGGUAAAUAUCAAGUACUGGAAUUAGUGGAAUCAAGAAACAUAUUAUUAACAAAACAUAUUAUUAACAAAAGAAGGAUUAAAAUACAGCACCAAUACAAAUUAUACAGGAACAUCAAGUACUAGUAUUAGUGGUAAUAAACAAUUAUAUUAAAGAAAAUAGGAUUUAAAACGAUAACACCGAGUCCGAGAGAAACUACUACAAGUCCCUCCAAGACCUCUAUACCAAGUCCAACAUGAUGGGUAACAGUUGUGAACAUAAAUCCAUUGUUUCUAAAUCUGUCUUGCAUCAACUCCUAUAUGACCUCAUGAGCUUAUAAAGGUUAACUCAUGUCUAGUAGCGUCAGCUGCUUAUACCAUGCCCUAGGCAUCAUGCCUUUCUUCCUCACCCAAAUAAGUAUGUUUACCACCUUUCUCAUUAGUGCUGAAGAUGAUUACUUAUGGAUGGCGUCAAAUCAUCACAUUCUUUAUAAGAAAUAAGAAACUGGGUGUUUCGAUGAUAUUUCAUAUUUGGAUUAUCUGAGAAAUAUAAUGAAUCUAUGCCAGGCAAGACUAAUAGUUGGAUUUUGUUAAGUUAUCUAUAAUACUUUGUGAUAUAACUCUUGGAUGAUCCAGGGAACAGGGCUGAAAUUUUAAUAUGUUGAAUAGAUAGUACCGGUUUAGGUUUUACAGCUAAAACUUUUAGGAUUGUAGGGGUUGUUUUAUCUUGCUUAGGCUUUUACUUGUACAUUUAAUGUAUAUUUUAGUUAUUGACAUGGCCGCUAGAAGAUUAAACUGUAGAUCCCAAGCAUUAUAGACAAAAUGUGAAAGGUUCAAAUGCACAAGUAUUUCAAUUUCUGUAGUUGACUAGUUAUCAUGUGAGAGAUAUCAGUGAAAUGUGAGAUGGGUGAAAAUUGGAGCUUCUGAUGUUGUAGGUUCCACUCAGACCUCAUUGUUUAUAGCCAAUCAGCCACGGUACCUAGGCAAGGACCUAGGAUUGCGGAUGGCUAACAAUCAAUAGGGUGCUCCAACCUCCAAUAUAGAUAUUUUCUUAUUCUCUAUUUGUUUAAACUGUUGUGCAAGUUUCUUCACUUGUUCAUUUUUUGGUCGAACUUUUAAAUACUGUCGUGUCUUUACAAAACGAACUGCAGUUUGUUGCCCUUUCUUCUUUAUAACCUGUAUUGCUUUUGUUUGCCUGUCCACUGUGGUUGUAUUGAUGCAGUGCUGAUAAUAUUUUUUUCUCGCAGAUAGAGUCGCUGUCUCUGACCUUUCAUGGACAUGAUCUUAUUGUUGAUUCUGAGCUGGAGCUUAAUUAUGGCAGGUUUGUUUUGGUGAUUGAAAAUUUUAUUUGAUGUGUUUAUGGUCAUUAGUUAUUUAGAUUUAUUAACUCUACAUGCAAUUUGUCUUUUCUUUACCAGACGAUAUGGUUUGCUCGGACUUAAUGGCUGCGGAAAAUCUACUCUACUUACAGCUAUAGGGCGCCGAGAACUUCCGAUUCCUGAUCACAUGGAUAUUUUUCAUCUCACGAGGGAGAUUGAAGCAUCUGAUAUGUCUUCACUCCAGGCUGUGAUAAAUUGUGAUGAAGAGAAGAUUAAACUGGAGAAAGAAGCUGAAGUUUUGGCCGCUCAGGUUUGUACUUAAAGUGAAAAAAUUUUGUGAUGGCAUCGUGGACUUGUUUUAUUUGUGAAUCAGUUGAUAAUAUCAGUUUUCUGUGUUUUAUAGGAUGAUGGUGGAGGAGAAGCUCUUGAGCGCAUAUAUGAGCGUUUGGAUGCAAUGGAUGCAGCAACUGCUGAGAAACGUGCUGCUGAAAUAUUAUUUGGUCUUGGUUUUACCAAAGAGAUGCAAGCGAAGAAAACCCGGGACUUUUCUGGUGGAUGGAGAAUGAGGAUUGCUUUAGCACGUGCCCUGUUUAUGAACCCGACUAUCUUGUUGCUUGACGAGCCUACUAAUCAUCUUGGUAAGCUGUUUUUCUUACAGUAGUAUUUACUUUGCAACUUACUUUUGUUUUAUUUAUUCUAAAAUUUAUAUACUUGUACUUUUCCCCUUUUUCUGAUGGCUACAUAAUUCUACUGGUAGCUACUAGCACCACGUGGUAAAAAUAUUACAUAUGAACAUAAUAUUUUUUCUACCCCUCAAUGUGGUAUUGAUCCACAUCAAAUCAAAUUUGUCAGUGAUAAGAUUCGUUUUUUAGCUCUUAAUCUCUUAUGUAUACAAGUGAACCAUUAGCUAUGGUCUGUAUAUUUAACUUUUCUGAGUUUGUUAUACAUUGAGUACUCGUAUGAGAAUGUAAUGUGCCUUCUUGGGACUAUACUUGUGUUGCACGUAAUUUUUGUCAGAGAUAAGAUUAUUUUCUUUAGCUCUUAAUUUCUUAUGUAUACAAGUGACCAUUAGCUAUGAUUUGUACGUUCAAUUUUUCUGAGUUUGUUAUACGUUUAGUACUUGUAUGAGAAUGUAAUGUGCGGAAUGUGCCUACAUGCGGCUAUACUUGUGUUGCACAUAAUUUUAAACAAUUUUUAUACAAGUUCUGCAUUAACUAUGAAUCCUGUAGUUGCUCAAUUGCAUGAUGUAUUGAGUUCUGUACUAUUUGCCCUGAGUUCUAUGCUAUUUGCUCCUUAUUAGAACAUAGAAGUUAUUCUGAGUAGUCAAAAAGAUGCAAGGAUACAAUAUGCUAAGUUGAAGUAUCUGUUAAAAGUACCUCGUCUAGAAGCACAAGUAUCAGGUACCAAUUUUUCCAGUGCAGUUGCUGGUAGCAUUGAUCGUAUGCCAAAAUCUAUAUUGAGUCUUCGGUUGCUGGUAAUGUUGAUUAUGUGUAAUGUUUUUUAGAGACUGUUUUAUUCCAAAUUUUAUACAAGUAUGUUGCUUUAGCAAGUAACCUUUAGCUUAAUUCAUUAUAAAUUUCUCUUGAAUUGAUACACACAUUAAGGACAAUGUGAUACUACAAUGUUUGUUUAAGAUUGGCUAAUAAUUCUGAAUCAUCUAUUUGGUUUCUGUUGUACUUGGUUAAAAAUUUAUUGUGGAGUGCAAAUCUGUUUCAUCAUCUGAUCAAAUGUGUGUUCUUGGAUGCAUAUGUUGCUCUGUUUUGUUUGACCGGUGGAAAUGUUGUACUUUCUCAACCUAUCAUCUCUAUUUUUAACAACUUUGUAUGCACUACUCUGAUGUUUAACUGCAUCAAAAUACAGAUUUAGAAGCUUGUGUGUGGCUGGAAGAGAUGCUGAAGAAAUUCGAGCGUAUCUUGGUGGUUGUUUCUCACUCCCAGGACUUUCUAAAUGGUGUCUGCACAAAUAUCAUACACAUGCAGAGCAGACAGUUGAAAAUGUAUACAGGAAACUUUGACCAAUAUGUUCAAACCCGUUCAGAACUCGAGGAGAACCAGAUGAAGCAGUACAAGUGGNAUCAUACACAUGCAGAGCAAACAGUUGAAAAUGUAUACAGGAAAUUUUGACCAAUAUGUUCAAACCCGUUCAGAACUCGAGGAGAACCAGAUGAAGCAGUACAAGUGGGAGCAGGAUCAGAUUGCUAAUAUGAAAGAGUACAUUGCUCGAUUUGGACAUGGUUCAGCUAAAUUAGCUCGCCAGGCACAGAGCAAAGAAAAAACUUUAGCAAAAAUGGAGCGUGGUGGCCUCACACAGAAAGUGGUUAGGGACCAGGUUCUGGUUUUCCGAUUCGUUGAUGUAGGGAAACNUGGCUAUACCCCAGAUAACCUCAUCUACAAGAACAUUGAGUUUGGUGUCGAUCUUGACUCAAGGAUCGCAUUGGUUGGACCCAAUGGUGCUGGGAAGAGUACAUUGCUGAAGCUGAUGACAGGGGAUCUGGUUCCCAACGAGGGCAUGGUACGUCGGCACAAUCAC